rnacentral:rRNA from 1 species
UAGGGAAUAUUGGGCAAUGGAGGCAACUCUGACCCAGCCAUGCCGCGUGCAGGAAGACGGCCCUCUGGGUUGUAAACUGCUUUUGAAUGGGAAGAAUGUGUGGCUUGCGAGCUAUAAUGACGGUACCAUUAGAAUAAGCCACGGCUAACUACGUGCCAGCAGCCGCGGUAAUACGUAGGUGGCGAGCGUUAUCCGGAUUUAUUGGGUUUAAAGGGUGCGUAGGCGGCUUAAUAAGUCGGUGGUAAAAGGU